rnacentral:tRNA from 1 species
GCGUCGGUGACGGAGUGGUCAAUCGUAACUGGCUGUAAACCAGUCGCCCUAUGGGCUACGCAGGUUCGAAUCCUGCCCGGCGCA